rnacentral:tRNA from 1 species
GGGGCAUUAGCUCAGCUGGUAGAGCGCUUGCAUGGCAUGCAAGAGGUCAGCGGUUCGACUCCGCUAUGCUCCA